rnacentral:tRNA from 1 species
GCCUGUGUGGCUCAGUUGGUUGAGCAUCCGACUUUGGCUCAGGUCAUGAUCUCACAGUUGGUGGGUUUGAGCCCCGCAUCAGGCU